rnacentral:rRNA from 1 species
CCUACGUGAGGCAGCAGUGGGGAAUCUUGCACAAUGGGGGAAACCCUGAUGCAGCAACGCCGCGUGAGUGAAGACGUAUUUCGGUAUGUAAAGCUCUAUCAGCAGGGAAGAAGAUGACGGUACCUGAUUAAGAAGCCCCAGCUAACUACGUCACAGCAGCCGCGGUCAUACGUCGGGGGCAAGCGUUAUCCGGGUGUAAUGGGGGUGAAGGGAGCGCUGAGGGGAGUGCAAGGCUGGAGUGAAAGCCCGGGGCCCAACCCCGGAACUUCUCUGGAAACUCUGCGGCUGGAGUGCGGGAGGGGCAGGCGGAAUGCCUGGUGUAGCGGUGAAAUGCGUAGAUAUCAGGAGGAACACCGGCGGCGAAGGCGGCCUGCUGGACCGCGACUGACGUUGAGGCUCGAAAGCGUGGGGAGCGAACAGGAUUAGAUACCCCGGUAGUC